rnacentral:pre_miRNA from 1 species
AGGGAGUAUUUGGUGGAAACGACUGAGUGACAUGAAGUUUAUUCACCAUACUCUCAAU